rnacentral:rRNA from 1 species
AGCUCUGUAAGCGUAUACCAAAGUUGUUGCAGUUAAAACGCUCGUAGUCGAACUUUGGCGUGAGAUACUGAGACUCCUACUGGAUGUUGAGGUAGCUCCGCCUUUGUGGAGGGGAGUGUGGUGGUGCUUUAUUGCAUUGCUGCAUUUCCGCCACUUUUUACUGUGAAAAAAUUAGAGUGUUCAAAGCGAGCGUUUGCCAUGAAUACAUUAGCAUGGAAUAAUAGAAUAGGACCUGGUCCUGUUUUAUUGGUUUGUCUGUAUCAGGUAAUGAUUAACAGGGACGGUCGGGGGCACUUGUAUUCCAGGGUUAGAGGUGAAAUUCUUAGAUCCUUGGAAGACAAACAGCUGCGAAAGCGUCUGCCAAGGACGUUUUCA